UUUUUUUUUUUUUUUUGCCGCGCCUGUGGCAUGGAAAAGUUCCCAGACCAGGGGUCAAACCCACACCAUACCAGUAACCAGAGUCAGCAGUAACGACACGGAGUCCUUAACCCACUGAGCCUCCAGGGAACUCCUGCUUUCUGAUUCUUAUUCUUUGUCCACUGAACAAACAUACCCAAGGCCAAGGGCUCAGAGAGAUUCCAAGUGACCACUGCCAGAGCCACAGAUCAGCCAUGGGGCAAAGACAGCAAUGCAAACUCUUCAUCAGUAUCCUUGCAUCCACGGGAGCCACUGAAGUGGGAUGAGAAAAGAAAAGCGGGGAGGGAAAGAGGAAGGAAGGGAGAGACAAUGGAGAGGCAGAGAAAGACAGAGAUAAGCAAAAAAAGAAAAAAGUAAAAGGACAGCAACUUUGCAAAGCCAAGAGGUUCUGAGUAACCCUCUCCAGAUUGUUUAUUUCAAUUAGCUAGGGAAUGCACGAUUGUAAAUUAAGGUAUGCUUCCUUGACAAGUCAGAAUGUUCCUGGGACAGACCCAAAUCUAAGAAGCUAAUGAUCUGACUGGCUCAGAAAUCAUGCUCAGCCAGUCUCCGCUCCCAACAGUCGCCAUGGAGGAGCAAGGCCAAGGACACGCAGCCAGCACAAUCCCCACACCCUACAGAGGCAGGCCUGAUCACCCCGCAAAGCUGAACUCGCAUAUCCGCAAAGGCCACCUCUUCCUGAGUGUCCCUGUGCAGGUCUGUGGCUGCGUGGCCGCAGAAACCUCCUACCAGGACUACGCUGCCCCUUCUGAAGGGGCGCUGGCGCUGGUAAAAAGGCUGGGUCAGAUGCUUACAAAACAAAACGAUUGGGAAAGAGUAUCUUCCUUUUAAACCCUCUGUUGGGUCAAAACAAACUUCUUAGGCCCAGAACACUCUUUCCCAAUCUUCUGGUGCCUGGUGGGGUGCAAUACCAAGGGGGCAUCAAGAAUGGCUGGGCAUUGCCAAUGAUGAAAUAUUUGCCCCUGUUUAAAUCUACUCUUUUCUCAAUUUUGAGAUUGUUUUGGUGGAUGAGGUCAGAACAUUUUCUUUUCUUUUUCCUUUUUUUUUUUUUUAAAGGCCCCAAGUGUGGCAUAUGGAAGUUACCAGGCUAGGGAGAGCAGGUGGACGGAAGGGUGAAUUUAGGCAGAGGGUCAGGGACUGUGUCUCUGAGCAGAGACCUGAAUGACAAGGAGCCAGCUGGGGGGAGACCUGAGGGAACAGUGUUCUGGCAGAGGGCACACCACAUGCAAAGGCCCUGAGGCAGAGAAGAGGAGGCAGGGAGAGUGGUUUCUGACCCAAGGGAGGAGGCAAAGGAGUGAGGGGUCGAGGAUGGUGGGAGAGGAGCGCACCCCGGAGGACAGAAGAAAGAGGCCACGGGAAGGGUCUGCAACUUUUCCCAAGGACACCAGGAAGCCACUGGAGGGCCCUGAGCAAAGGAAGGCCGUUUUUCCAGUCUGUAAAAGCCCCUCGAGGGAGCAGGACUGAACACGGACAGACGAGUUGUGACGCUUUAUCUAACCAACGAGAUGCCCCAGAACAGGCCAAGUCAAAGCAGCAGCGAGUAACCAAAAACCGAGCCAUCCAAACACAACGUGGACGCACAGAUCCGCUGCGGCCUCAGUCUUGCGGCGGUACAGACUCUAAGUAUCGUAGUUAAAUGCAUUUCACUGUGUAAAAGCAUCUGCAGCUGGCGCAUUAACAGUCCCGUGACCACGGACAUCACUGCUCAGGAGGAGGCGAAGAUGAAGAGUGAGUCACCUCGGAGCCGACUUGAAGAAAACUGUGAAAGCCAACUGACAGGCGCAGCUCACACAGCUCUAAGCCUGCCCACUGCAAUUCCAGAUCCUGGGAGCCUGGGUAGGGGCCCUGCUUCGGAGACCCCCCCACACCACGCCUGGCUGGCCCCAGGGUGGCUGGAAAUGAGAGCCUGCAAAUGUGAGCCCCUCCCUUUUAAAUGGGGCGGCAAAGAGGAAGGGGACAGAGGGACCCAGAACUUGAGGUGGAUCAGGGUCAUGGCUAAAUACCAGGCUGCUGUGGGGUUAGAGGUUAAGUGAGAGGGAUGUCACCUGGGGAAAACUGUGUGCCUGGGGGACACUGGUUGCUGUCUGAGGACAUUGUGGUUGUCACAACUAGGGGGGAGGGGUUACUCCUGGCAUCAAUGGGAUAGGGGGUCAGGGAUGCUGCUCAACACCUCACAGUGCCUGGGACGUGCCCGCCAUCCCCAGAGAACAACCUGGGCUUGGAUGUAGACAGGGCAGAGUAGGGAGGGACCCUGAGAGCAGGAAGAAUUCAGCGCCCCGGCAUCAUGAGAAGCACUUCAGUGACUUUCAUCUCCUUUGAUCUCCUCAAUAACCGAGGAUGGGCUCUUAUGACACCCAUCAUACAGAUGCGGAAACCGAGGCCCAGAAUGAUGAAGUGACUUGACCCAGAGGAGGGAUCUGAACCCAGGUCUCUCAGAUUCCGUUUGGGGAAUGGAGGGGAGGACAGGCAUUCAGGAACCCCACCAAGAACACAGGUCAAAAGGGAGUUCACGUUCAGCCCCUUUCCCCGCCUGGCUGAUGUUCUGGGUACUCAGGCCAGAAGCAAGGGACCAGGACUGGGGCAGGUAAGAACCGUGGCAGUGAGUCCCCACUGAGCAGCCCUGGAGCAGGUCUCUGGAGCACAGCCAGGAACCAGGCCCAGGCUGUUGGAGAAGCAUGGGGUGACCUCACAGCUGCUUUGCAGGGCCCUCAUGGUCAGGCAAUGGCCCAUAGUUCCUCUGCUUUCCCCCACCCCAGCUUCCUAGUAGGCUUGGGAAAGUUUAGUGACCCCCACCCCUCCACCUUUGCUCUUGAGCAAGUGAUGGGCACAAGGUCUCACAGCUUGGAGCCUGUCCACCACACUUCUGGACUCCGGGGAAGAGAGCCACCCAGAAAUGCUUGUUUGCCCACACUGUGGGCCGUACUGCCCACCCCGAGCCAGGCCUCCACCUCGCCAGCACAGCUGUGCCCCACAGCCCUAGACACCCAUCCCUCCCCUUCCCCCACUAGACCCAAAGCCCCCCGAAGUUAGAGACUCCACGAAACCUGCCCCAGUGCUCAACGAACCCAACAUCCCCAGGCCAGGUGAGUGUGGGAUGGACGCAAGGACUGAGGCUCUGCCGGGCCAGCCAGGGGAAGGGGCAGGGCACAAGGGGGCAGGGGCCAGAAGCCAGCAGAGGAGGCGGAGAAACGCGGGGUCAAGCAGAGCAGCGGGGGUGGGAGACAGGGGCAGAGAGGGCCCCCAACAGCCCCAGAGGGACUGGGGAAGGGUCUUUCCUAGGACGCAGAAAAGUACAACAAAGGCAGGGCGGAGUCGGGAAUGACCGAUCAGCCAUACCUUUAAGCUCUAGUAUUUAACAUCUCCUUAGCAGCCCACUUCCCCAAAGCGACAAGGAUCAGAAUCAAUUGUUACUAAGACCUAUAUACAUUUCCUCUCAACAACUACACACUCAUUCUCUCUCUCUCUCUCCCACCCACACACACACACACACACACACACACACACACACCCCCCCACACACACACACACACAGCAUGUGACACUGUAUCUGCUGGAAUUGCCACAAAACCUGGGAGCAUUCAAGCAACUGCACCUCUGCUCCUGGCACUGCCCUCCCCCAGGGCAGAGCAGUCUGACCGAGGAGGUGCCCCCGGCACGAAUGGGGAGCAUCAUGAUUUGCCCAGCAUCCAAUCAGAAACACAGAAAGAGGGCCGGCGAGUUUCAGAAACCCUCCACUCAGAUCAGCACAAGUUGACUCCAGACUUUCACAUUCCGUCCUUUGGGGUUCCAAAAAACAAACUAACUGCAAAGACAGAGCGGCUGCCCACUGUUCUUGCAAGGGUGGAGAGAGAAGGCUGACCCAUGAGUUGAUAAGCUAUCCUGAUGCCUCAGAAGGAAGCUAUUAUUUGAGAAUUAGGGGAGUCAUCAGCUCUUGCGACAAGGAAAGCCCACAGAAGUCAUGUAAAGAGACCGUUUCAGGGGCUUUCUCCAGCCUGGGGACAGCGGGAUAAAUGGCUGUCGAGGCAGAGGAGGGGGCAGGCAUUCUCAGACCCUAAGACAUUGCUGGCACCCAGUUUGACCCAAAGGAGCUGGCUGAAUAAAUGCCUUUGAUAGAAACACAUGGGGAAAAAAGGACACACUCUUCACACAUUACAGGAUGGGAUCACUGGGCUCCACUGAACAGAACAACCUUCUCAAUAGUUUCAUAACUCGGGAAACAGUUCCCCAGGUGCACCUGAAUUAUUAAAACAAAAGCAUCCUCCCCCGACCAAGCAGAUGGGACACACCAAGGCACAGUCCAUGUCUCCCCUGCCCCCAGGGGAAAGAAAAUCCUCUGUAAAACCUUUCCAUGUGGCCCCACGGAGGUGCAUCCCAUUCUGCCUGGUGUCAUCGCGCCCACUGGGUGGAGACCCAGGCCCCAGCAGAUCUGGAGUAGGUUCCUUUCAGAAUGAAUCCGUCCCCCAGCUCCCACGAGGCUGGAUGGGACAGCCCAAGGGGUCUCCGCGGGAGGGACUCUACGAUUUAUUUCUACAGAGAAGGGGGGCUUCGAGAUGGCUUUCGGGCCGGCAGGGUGAGGCACUGAGGGCACGCGUCUGUAAGCUGCUAUAUGCAUAGCAACUGGAUACAUUAAAAAAAAAAAAAA
rnacentral:lncRNA from 1 species